rnacentral:rRNA from 1 species
GGGAUAACAGUUGGAAACGACUGCUAAUACCGGAUGACGUCGGAAUCUCGCAUGGGAUACUGACGAAAGGGUUACUGGAUCGGGAGAGCCUCGCGGGCCUAUCAGCUUGUUGGUGAGGUAACGGCUCGACCAAGGCAUCGACGGGUAGCUGGUCCUGAGAGGAUGAUCAGCCACACUGGGACUGAGACACGGCCCAGACUCCUACGGGAGGCAGCAGUGGGGAAUCUUGCGCAAUGGGCGAAAGCCUGACGCAGCAACGCCGCGUGCGGGAAGAAGGCCCUCGGGUUGUAAACCGCUUUCAGAAGGAACGAAAAUGACGGUACUUUCAGAAGAAGGUGCGGCCAACUACGUG